CCUGGAUCUCAUCACAACUUUUACAGACUUGGAGUUCACAUAGGCUGUUGAAUCUCUUUUGCUUUCUGCAUGAUCUGAAAAGGUUAAUAACUGAGUGAUCUUGUAAAUUGGGUAAUCUGAGUUUGGCUGUUUUUCUAAACAGCUUUUUAAUCUGUUGGAGAGACCGUACAACAGUGCUAGCCGAGAAUGGAAGUUCAGAAUCUUUCCUUUUUAAAUGUGUUGUCAAAAGAGGUGUGGACCCUUGCAGUGUUUUUAUUUGUUUUUUUGAUUGUGUUUGAUGUUCUCCAUACUCGUGUUCCCAAGAAUUUUCCACCUGGUCCCUUUGGACUGCCAUUUUUCGGUAAUAUGCUUCAGCUGGACCUAAAGCAACCUCAUCUCCAGUUUUGCAAGUUUGCAGAGAAAUAUGGAGAUAUUUUUAGCCUGAGGAUUGGAUAUUCUUACCUUGUUGUCAUAAAUGGUUUAAAUGCUUUUAAAGAGGCUGUGGUUCACCAGACGGAUGUUUUUGCAGGAGCAGCAGCAUUUCCACUUUUUGAUGAUCUUGUCAAGGGACAUGGUAUACAGUUCUCAAAUGGAAAUGUAUGGAAAGAGCAACGCAAGUUUGCACAAAUGACUUUAAGAAGAUUUGGUGUUGGACAGAAAUCUUUGGAAGCACAAAUUCUUGAGAAAAUUAAAGAUCUUCAAGAUGUGUUCAAAAGAGAGAAGGGACAACCAUUCAAUCCCCAAACCAAGAUAAAUAUAUCAAUUGUAAAUAUAAUCUGUUCAAUUGUUUUCGGAGAACAAUACGACGGUACUGGUACCCAUGCUGAUUUACAAGAAGUCCGUCUUUUAGUUGACAAAUUUUCAAAUCUUUCGGAGAGUAUUUGGGUUCAGCUAUAUAAUUCAUUUCCAAAAUUAGUGAGACAUCUGCCAGGCCCACAUAAUGAUCUGUUUGCUUUACGGAGAAGUUUAGAGGACCUUUUCCAAAAGAAAAUCAAGCAGCACCGGGAGAGACUGAACCCAUCAGAACAAAAGGAUUUCAUUGACUACUUCCUAUUACAAAUGCAAAAGGCUGCUCCUAACUCUAGUUUUAAUGACCAAAAUCUGCUGUGUACCUCAUUGGAUCUUUUCUUUGCUGGAUCUGAGACGACAAAUACCACAUUACUUUGGGCACUGCUGUACAUGGCAGGGUAUCCAGACAUUCAAGAGAAAGUCCAUGAUGAGAUUGUGAGUUUAAUUGGCCAGCGAGAUCCUAUGAUGGAUGAUCGAAUCAAUCUUCCUUACACCAAUGCAGUUGUUCAUGAAAUACAGCGAAAAGGCAUCAUAGCCCCAUUGACUCUUAACAGGGAAACUACUCGAGAUACGACAGUGGGAAAAUAUUUCAUACCAAAGGGCACACAGGUAUUGACAAACCUCUACUCAGUGUUGAUGGACAAAUCAGAAUGGGAAACACCUGAGGAAUUUAAUCCUGAACACUUCCUGGACAAAAAUGGGAAAUUUGUUAGAAAGGAAGCAUUUGUCCCUUUCUCUAGAGGAAAACGCAACUGCAUGGGAGAACCACUGGCUAGAAUGCAAUUGUUCCUUUUCUUCACUUCUUUACUGCAGAAGUUCAAAUUUGUUUUUCCUGUGGGUGUCAAGCCAAGUUUUGAUGCUGUAAUGCGUAUAGUACGUCGCCCUCAGCCAUAUGAGAUAUGUGCAAUUCCACGCUGAACCGAGAGAGCAGUAGUAUCCAUUGUAUGACCUUGGCUCCCAGAACCAGCUUUCUAUCCUUCCUCUUUCAACUCUGAAUCCUCUUUAACUCAAGAUCACUUAGAAAUCUCCCUUUUAAAAUCAAUGUUUCAAUAUAUUUGUUAUUCUAAUGCUUUGUGGAAACACAAGGAAAGGAAGCAUUCAAUUGUAAAGAAGAUCAGAACAUUCCCUAGAUUUAACACUUCUGAAGUAACUAAGUAUUUCAUUCUGUGUCAGCUCUUCCUGCUAAUCAAGGCUAACAACAAUCAUCCAACUUCUCUUUGGUCUCUCCCCACAUCUUUACAUCCAACAACUGUACAUUGACAGCAUCAUCUGAAGGCAUAAGCCAGUUUUCAGGUAGAAGCCAUUAUAAUACCUCUAAAUACUCAUAUUUUAAACUUCUGUAUGUCCUGAUAAAGGGUGUUAGUCCAUUAACUCUUUAUUCCUCUUCAUAGAUGCUGCCUGACUUGCUGAGUUCCUUCAGCAUCUUCUAUGUGUUACUGUGGAUUUCCAGCAUCUACAGAAACCCUUGCAUUUAGCUCUUCCUUCUCUUCUGUAUAAGCAGUAAUUUCCCAUUUUCACAAAUCGGUCUUGCUACAAGCAUUUCAGCCAAUGCUGAUUCCACUUCCUUCUCUAAUACUUGUCUGAAUUAGACCAUUCUUUAAACCUUCGAUUAGAUUAGUGGGGUGCCACAGGGCUCGGUAUUGGGACCACAGCUGUUUACGAUUUACGUCAAUGAUUUAGAUGAAGGCAUUCAGAAUAACAUCAGAAAAUUUGCUGAUGAUACUAAGCUGAGUGGCAGUGUGACAUGUGAUAAGGAUGUUAGGAGAAUUCAGGGUGACUUGGAUAGGCUGGGUGAGCGGGCAGAUACUUGGCAGAUGACGUUUAAUGUGAAUAAGUGUGAGGUUAUCCACUUUGGGAGUAAGAACAGGAAGGCAGAUUAUUAUCUGAAUGGUGUAGAGUUAAGUAAGGGAGAAAUACAAAGAGAUCUCGGAGUCCUUGUUCAUCAGUCACUGAAGGUGAAUGAGCAAGUGCAGCAGGCAGUGAAGAAGGCUAAUGGAAUGUUGGCCUUUAUUACAAAGGGAAUUGAGUACAAGAGCAAAGAAAUCCUCUUGCAUUUGUACAGAGCCCUGGUGAGACCACACCUGGAGUAUUGUGCACAGUUUUGGUCUCCAGGGUUAAGGAAGGACAUCCUGGCUGUAGAGGAAAUGCAGUGUAGAUUCACGAGGUUAAUUCCUGGGAUGUCUGGACUGUCUUACACAGAGAGGUUAGAGAGACUGGGCUUGUACACGCUGGAAUUAAGGAGAUUGAGAGGGGAUCUGAUUGAAACAUAUAAGAUUAUUAAGGGAUUGGACAGGAUAGAGGCAGGAAAUAUGUUCCAGAUGCUGGGAGAGUCCAGUACCAGAGGGCAUGGUUUGAGAAUAAGGGGUAGGUCAUUUAGAACAGAGUUAAGGAAAAACUUCUUCUCCCAGAGAGUUGUGGGGGUCUAGAAUGCACUGCCUCGGAAGGUAAUGGAGGCCAAUUCUCUGGAUGCUUUCAAGAAGGAGCUAGAUAGGUAUCUUAUGGAUAGGGAAAUCAAGGGAUAUGGGGACUAGGCAGGAACCGGGUAUUGAUAGUAGAUGAUCAGCCAUGAUCUCAAAAUGGCGGUGCAGGCUCAAAGGGCCAAAUGGUCUACUUCUGCACCUAUUGUCUAUUGCCUAUUACUUAGGUAUUCCUAAGCAAAAAUACUUACUUCUACUGCAGAACAAUAAUAUUGAGGCCAAUUAAAAAGGAAAGCGGCCAGUGAGUGAGUGGGCCAGUGAAGGAGUGGAGAUUUGAGGCUUUGACUCGAGAGGCUUUGACGAGAAGAGGCGGAGGCCAAGCUUGUUUUUGGACCAUUGGGAUCUCUUCUGGGGAAGGUGGGACCUGUACAGAUUGGAUGGGUUGCACCUGAACUCGAGGGGGAGCAAUAUCCUUGCUGGUAGGUUUGCUAGCCUGGUUUGGGAGGGUUUAAACUAACUUGCAAGGGGGAUAGGACCUGGAGCGAUAGAGCAGUGAAAGAAGUGCAUGGAGUAAAGCCAGAUCUAACAUAUAGAGAGGCUUUGAGGAAAGAGCAGCAAAAUAAAGGGUAUAAAAGUAAUAAGGUAGAAGGGCUAACGUGUGUGUACUUCAAUGCAAGAAGCAUCAGGAACAAAGGUGAUGAACUGAGAGCUUGGAUACAUACAUGGAAUUAUGAUGUAGUGGCCAUUACGGAGACUUGGCUGGCACCAGGGCAGGAAGGGAUUCUCAAUAUUCCUGGAUUUCAGUGCUUUAAAAGGGAUAGAGAGGGAGAGGAGGUGUUGGAGUUGUUAAAAUACAUUAGGACAGGGAAUUCCCCCGGGGCCUGAUGGAAUAUUCCCUAGGCUGCUCCACGAGGCAAGCAAAGAGAUUGCUGAGCCUCUGGCUAGGAUAUUUAUGUCCUCAUUGUCCAUGGGAAUGGUGCCGGAGGAUUGAAGGGAGGCAAAUGUUGUCCCCUUGUUCAAAAAAGGUAGUAGGGAUAGUCCAGGUAAUUAUAGACCAGUGAGCCUUACGUCUGUGGUGGGAAAGCUGCUGGAAAAGAUUCUUUGAGAUAGGAUCUAUGGGCAUUUAGAGAAUCAUGGUCUGAUCAAGGACAGUCAGCAUGGCUUUGUGAAGGGCAGAUCAUGCCUAACAAGCCUGAUAGAGUUCUUUGAGGAGGUGACCAGGCAUAUAGAUGAGGGUAGUGCAGUGGAUGUGAUCGACAUGGAUUUUAGUAAGGCAUUUGACAAGGUUCCACACAGUAGGCUUAUUCAGAAAGUCAGAAGGCAUGGGAUCCAGGGAAGAUUGGCAAGGUGGAUUCAGAGUUGGCUUGCCUGCAGAAGGCAGAGGGUCGUGGUGGAGGGACUACAUUCAGAUUGGAGGGUUGUGACUAGUGGUGUCCCACAAGGAUUGUUGAAGAUUGCAGAGAGACAUUGAUAGGAUGCAGAAGUGGGCUGAGAAGUGGCAGAUGGAGUUCAACCCGGAGAAGUGUGAGGUGGUACACUUUGGAAGGGCAAACUCAAAGGCAGAGUACAAAGUAAAUGGCAGGAUACUUGGUAGUGUGGAGGAGCAGAGAGAUCUGGGGGUACACGUCCACAGAUCUCUGAAAGUUGCCUCACAGGUUGAUAGGGUAGUUAAGAAAGCUUAUGGGGUGUUAGCUUUCAUAAGUCGAGGGAUAGAGUUUAAGAGACACGAUGUAAUGAUGCAGCUCUAUAAAACUCUAGUUAGGCCACACUUGGAGUACUGAGUCCAGUUCUUGUUGCCUCACUAUAAGAAGGAUGUGGAAGCUUUAGAAAGGGUACAGAGGAGAUUUACCAGGAUGCUGCCUGGUUUAGAGAGUAUGGAUUAUGAUCAGAGAUUAAGGGAGCUAGGGCUUUACUCUUUGGAGAGAAGGAGGAUGAGAGGAGACAUGAUAGAAUUGUACAAGAUAUUAAGAGGAAUAGACAGAGUGGACAGCCAGCGCCUCUUCCCCAGGGCACCACUGUUCAGUACAAGAGGACAUGGCUUUAAGGUAAGGGGAGGGAAGUUCAAGGGGGAUAUUAGAGGAAGGUUUUUCACUCAGAGAGUGGUUGGUGCGUAGAAUGCACUGCCUGAGUCAGUGGUGGAGGCGGAUACAUUAGUGAAGUUUAAGAGACUAGUAGACAGGUAUAUGGAGGAAUUUAAGGUGGGGGGGGGCGUUAUAUGGGAGGCAGGGAUUGCGGGUCAGCACAACAUUGUGGGCCGAAAGGCCUGUACUGUGCUGUACUGUUCUAUGUUCAAUGCAGAUGAUUUGAAGAACUCACAAUUACUAGAGUCAUAAGAGCAAACACGAGGAAAUCUGCAGAUGCUGGAAAUUCAAAGAACACACACAAAAUGCUGGAGGAGAAGCUUCUCCCUAUAGAUGUUGUCUGGCCUGCUGUGUUCCACCAGCAUUUUGUGUGUUUUACUAGAGUCAUAAACUAACUUGAAGCCAUUAGAAGCUAAUUAACUCUACCCUGAUUCUUGCCCAGAGCAGAAUCAGGGCAAUGUUUUGGGCUUAAACAUCUUCAAAUGCUUAAUUCUUAAUCAUCCUUGCCUGCAAAUUCAAAUUGCAUUUGAAUCCUUUGAGAUUAGUGCAGUGUGUAUGUGCUUGCAUAAACUUGGACAGCAUUCGGCUCUGAGCAGGUAAGUAGCAAGUUAUGUUCACAAUGCAUAAGCACGCGGUUAUAAAAAUCUACAAGUGAAAGUCUCACUGCUGUUCUUUGACUUCCAAUAAAAUCACUACUGUUAAAUCCCCAAUCAGCGAGAUACUUGGAAAUACAGAUUGGAUUGGUUAAAACUUAACUGGAUUAGUUAACUAAAUACUGCGGUUACAAGAAUAGGUCAAAGGCAGGGUAUGUUAUGAUGCAUGACUCCCAUUUUGAUUCCCUCAGGCCACAACUCAGGAGAGCAAUAGAAGGCAAAAUGAGUGUAUCUCCUCUGUCAUUAAGACAUUUAAAACCAUUCCACAUACAUGUAACUCAUUUGGUUAUCACCACAUCCCCCACUCUUGUACAUUUAUUCUCUCCACUAUCAGCAAACACAUCUUGACUAUAAUGUACAUCAUUACAAAAUCAUUAUUCGGACGUACAAGGUUUGUUUGGUAACAUUUCCCAUACCCUUAGCCUCUAUCUAUCUCAAAAGAGAAAAUAAGAGAUUUUAUAGGAAUAUCAACACCAAGUAGCUUCCCAUCAAGUUUCAUAUCAUUCUGAUUCAGAAAGUUUUUUAUGUUCCUUGGUUCAUUAAAAUUCUGAACUCUCUACCUGACAGUACAUUUGGUAAACACAAGGAAUGCUUCAGAUGUGGAAAAUCCAAAGCAGCAUGCACAAUGCUGGAGGAACUCAGUAGUCAGACAACAUCAAACAAUCAACAUUUUGGGCUGAGACCCUUCUUCAGGACUGGAAAGGAAUAAUGAAGAUAUUGGUUGGCAGUUCGUUUCUAGAGGUUGAGGACAAGAUGUCAGAAAUAAAUCAGGUGAAUUUAAGAGUUGGGUAGGAAGUUGAAGACAAAGUUCAUGAACUUGCUAAGCCCAGCAUGCGUGCAUGAAGCAGCCCAAAGCAGGUAUCAACGUAGCAGAGGAAGAGUUGAGGAAUGUUACCAGGGAAGGCACGGAACAUCGACUGUUCUACAAAGCCAAUGAAAAAGCAGGCAAAGCUGCGGCCCAUGUGGGUGCUCAUGGUCACCCCUCAAGUCUAGAGAAAAUGGAAGGAGCUGAAGGAGAGAUUGUUGAAGGAAGGUGGUGAUAGAGCGAAACUGGUUGGUCCUUCUAUUGACAAAGAAGCAGAGAGUUUUAAGGCCUUCUUGAUGGGGAAUAUAAGUGUCUAGGGACUGGACAUCCAUGGUGAAAAUGAGGUGGUCAGGGCAAGGGAAUUGAAAUUUAGUGAGAAAAGCAAGAGCAUGAGAAAUGUCAUGGAUGUUGGUGGGAAGGGACUGAGCCAAGGAGGAUAAAAUGGUGUUGAGGUAUAAGGACAUAAAUUUAGUAGGGCAGGAGCUUGAUGAGAUCUGUGAUGGUCUUGCAGACAGAUUUCUGAUAGUUCUGAGUGGAGUCCUCUUCAAGGGGUAGGUAUGAGGAGGUGGCUGAGAAUUGUUGCCAGGCUUCAUCAAGAUAGAGUUCAGUGUGCCACACUGCAGUGUAAUCCCCUUUGACUGCAGGUAUUGAUGGCAAGGAUAGGACUAGUGCAUAGAGAGUGGAGAACAGUGUCUUCAGAACGAGUAAGUUUUGAGGAGGGAGGAGUGCUAAGGUUGAGCCAGCCGAUAUCUCAUUGGCAGUUAGAGAUUAAAAGAUGCAAUGAAGGCAGGGAACCAAUAUGGGGGAUCCAAGAAGAGGAGGAGCAUUGGAGAUGGGAGAAGGGAUGAUCAGUGAAGGGUGGGAAAUUCUUGCCAAAGAAGUGGGCUUGGAGGUGGUGGUGAUGGAAGAAGAACUUGGUGUUGGUGUGGGCAAAGGGAGACAAAGGCAAGUCCCUUGCUGAGGACAUCUCAGGGAAUGGAAUGGUGAAGACACAGCAGAGGUUAAAUCUGGCAUUAGAAUUGGAGGCGUCAUAGGAGGGGGAGGUUUGAGGUGUUCAGGGAAGGUAGGGUGGGAGGAAGAUGGUGGCUCUGAGGAUUCAAGAGUUGAACGGAGCCUGAGGGACCUAGAGUUGGAGAGUGGUGGUGGGGGAUGGGGAGUCUGGAGGCCCAGCAGCAGCGAGGUAGGUUGAGGCUUUGCAGUCUGAUAGCGUCUGGGGUCAUAGGAACCAGCACUGGUGAUGAUAGAAUCUGAGAUCUGAAUCCCCUUAGAUCCAGUACAAUUUGGUAUAUCCUUAUCACAAUUCAAUUAUGGGAUAUUGUUCAAAACUAUGCAUUGCCAUCACUUUCUCAAACGUCCCUCUGGGGUAAGUGUGACGUGCUGGACUUGCUGUCAAUACCCAUAUCCCAUAACUGAAUUUUAAAAAAUAGCUUCAUCACUUGCAUAUUUACCUACUUUACUUAAUGUUGUCCUGCCCCUUCUUUAACCACCUCCAAUGUGCAAUGUGCUGCCAUGUGCACCUUGUCUACAUGAGCACUCCAACAUUGUGAUUCAGUCCCAAUGAUCCACAUCAGCUCAUGGCAUAUUGAAUAAAUAGCCUUAAAUCUUCUUGUGCUUUUCCCCUGCCCUGUUCCUGUAUACCACUCAGUACUCCACCUGUCUGCCCUCUCCAUGCUCUGGUUCUUUAGUUCUGAUGCUUUAUACAUCCAGUCCCCUCUUGGUAUUAGCCAUCCAGGCCCAAAUAUGUGGAAUUUUCUUUCUUAAUGCCUAGAGUUCCUUCUCCAAUCUGAUAUAAAAAGAAAUAUUGCUGUUCCUCUCUUCUUGAGAAUUCUUUGGUCACUUUCAAUCUCUCCUGCAGAAGCAUCAGAUUCUUGAUGACAAUCAGUGAAGCAAUUCCAGACACUUAACUGGAAACAAAUAUUGCAAGUUUCUGCAUAUUACCCUUGUUACAUUAUAACAUUUAACUAGUCACAGGAAGGAUCUUUUUUAAUUGUUGUGAGUAGAUUUGAAAAUGUAGCAUUCCUAACAUUGGGAAUACAGUAGAGACUUUGAAUUUGGGUAUGGAAAUCACAUUUAAUGUAUAAGCAUACAGUUUCUGAGGAGAGCAUACAUUACAUUCCAAGUCUUCUCUUCAGUGUGCAAUGAAUCCCAUGUCUGGCUUCCAGCGGCAAUGUGUAAUCUGGCUUUGAAAACUCUGACAUUUAAAGUGUAGCUGAUAUUGUAAUCUAAAGAAUUUAUGUAAACAAUAUGUGCUAAUAGAACAGAAUACAGCUUAUUUUAGAUGUAUCCAUUUGUCUACAUGUUAAAUGAGAACAAAAGCAAAGCUAAUUCCUGUGCAUAGGGCAGCUAUCUAUAGAAUGGGAAAACAUUACUAUAAAGAAUCAACCAUCAUACCAGCAGUGUUUUCCAUUGCUGUGUGAAAAUUGGACAACAUACAGGACAUAACUCAAAAAAAUUAGUUGUAAGCUCUUCUCAAAAAUUGAAUCUAGUUCUUCUUUCACAUACUUUACAUUGAAUCAUGUGAAGUUGUAGAUAUUACCUUGCAGAUUGAAUGUAUUAGUAUAUUUGGACCUUCUGUAAGUACCCAUUUAAUAUUAUGAAAUGUCAUUAAUAAAAGUGAAAUAACCUCUCUGGCAAUGAAAAUCAAAUUUUCAUCUGUGUAGACUGAUUUUUCAGGUUUUAACAAUUGUGUGUGAUUUAAAAUAAAACAUUAAAAAAGCAAAAAGCCUCAAAUUUACACUUUAUCAGUUAAUUUUAAAUAACUUGUUCUUUCCUUACCACUCUUCAAGGGCAAGAGGUAGAAGAAAGGAAACUAUAGGCCAGUUAGUCUGACCUCAUUGAUGAUGUCAAUUAUUAAGGAUGAGAUUUCAGGGUUCUUGCAGGCACAUCAUAAAAUAGGCCAUAGUGUGCAUGGUUUCCUCAAGGGAAAAUCUUGCCUGACAAAUCUGUUGGAAUUCUUUGAAGAAAUAACAAGCAGGAACAUUGGCUGAUGUUGUGUCCUUGAAUUUUCAGAAGGCCUUUGACAAGAUGCCACUCAUGAGGCUGCUUAACAAGCUACAAGCCCAUGGUAUUACAGGAACGGUUCUAGCAUGAAUAAAGCGGGUUCUUCUCCCGCAGGAGUUGAGGGGUAGAGGGGUGGGGUGUAUACCCCUGAACAAGGGAAUGUAAAUAUGGAAUAACAGAGCGCCACCUGGGUGGCUAAAGUGUGAAAGCGUAAAGACCGUAAUGGAAACAUUUGUAAAGGACUGAGACUCAUUGAAUGGUUCAUUGUACAUAAUUUUAUUUUUGAAUAAAGUAUAUUUUGUUUAAUAAAAAAAACCCAGAAGCCAUGGAUGACCGCAGAAGUGCAUGUGCUGCUGUGGACCCAUGACUCCGCCUUCAGAGCAGGCGACAAGGCAGCCGAAAGAACAGCAAGGGCCAGACUGUCCCGGGCGAUCAGAGAGGCAAAGAGUGCACAUGCCCAGCAAAUCCACAGCCACUUCCAGGACAGCAGCGACAAGCGGUGCAUGUGGAAGGGCAUUCAGAACAUCACCAACUACAGGAGAUCAUCACCUGACUGUGCAGAUGAUGCCUCCCUCCCAGAUGCGCUGAACAACUUCUACGCUCGGUUUGAGGCAGAAAAAGAUGUGGCGGCGAGGAUGUUCACCCCUCCUCCAAAUGACCAGGUGCUGUGUCUCACCAUGGCUGAUGUGAGGAGAACCCUGUGCAGAGUCAACCCAUGGAAGGCUGCUGGACCAGACAAUAUUCCUGGCAGAGUGCUCAGAGGAUGUGCAGAUCGGCUAGCAGAUGUUCUCACCUUUUUCACUGUUUGCAAUGGACCUGUCCAUUAUUUCAUCCUCCAUCGGAUCCAUGCAAGCAAGCGCCGUUUCGUUGACUUUAUCAUGUCCUGCAAGGAUUGCAAGAUCUUCCAUCUGCAGACUCCAGAACAUGGACUUCAUAUCGCAGCCCUGGGCCCAGCCGUCGAUCUCGGCUGCCCCAGCAACCCAGGGAAUAUUCAAAACCCGGACUCCAGCACCAUCAACACGGGUUCCAAUGACCAUGGAUUGGCCCCGGCAGUCGAUCUCAGUUACCAUUCCCUCCGGCCUUCAAUUCUCUGAGGCAGAGUGCACUGUCCUCAGUAAGGGUCUCACCUUUGUCCCCCUUCGACCACACCUCAGCGAGUUCCACGUACGCCAUGAUGCCGAACACUUCUUCCGCUGGCUCCACCUCUGAGCUUACUUCUUUGGCAAGGACUCUCCCACCCCCACUGAUGACCCCUUCUCCCGUCUUCAACCCUCCUCCUCUUCAUGGACACCCUGCUCUGGUCUUCUGCCUGCUCUGGAUCUCUUUAUUGCUAAUUACCGGCGGCACAUCAACCAUCUUAACUUCAUCAUACCGUGUUCCAAUUCCAACCUCUCUCCUUCCGAACACUCUGUUCUCCACUCCCUCCGCACCAAUCCCAACUCACUAUAAAACCUGCUGAUAAGGUGGGAGCUGUUGUUGUCUGGCAUGCCGACAGCUACCUGGCCGAAGCACAGCGACAACUCUCUGAAAUCUCCUCUUAUUUACCCCCUGAUUAUGACCCCACUAAAGAGCACCAGGCCACUGUCUCCUAUACCAUCACCAAACUUAUCAGCUCUGGGGAUCUCCCAUCCACUGCCACCAACCUCAUAGUUCCCACACCCCGCACUUCCAGUUUCUACCUCCUACCCAAGAUCCACAAACCUGCCUGUCCAGGUAGACACAUUGUCUCAGCCUGCUCCUGCCCCACCAAAUUCAUUUCUGCAUACCUUGACACUGUUUCAUCCCCCCUUGUUCAAUCCCUUCCCACUAAUGUUUGUGACACUUCUCACGCUUUGAAUUUUUUCAAUGAUUUUUAAGUUCGCUGGCCCCCACCGCCUUAUUUUCACCAUGGACGUCCAGUCCCUAGACAUUUACACCACACAUUGCAUCCACAAAGCCAGCAGCAUUAAGAAGGACCCCACGCACCCCUCAUACAAACUCUUCUCCCUCCUGCCAUCUGGGAAAAGGCAUCGAAGCAUUCAGGCUCUCACGACCAGACUAUGUACAGGUUUCUUCCCCCAAACUAUCAGACUCCUCGAUACCCAGAGUCUGGACUGACACCAAUUUACUGCCUCUACUGUGCCUAUUGUUUUGCUUAUUAUUUAUUGUAAUGCCUGCACUGCUUUGUGCACUUUAUGCAGUCCUGGGUAGGUCUGCAGUCUAAUGUAGUAUUUUGUGUUGUUUUACGUAGUUCAGUGUAGUUUUUGUAUUGUUUCAUGUAGCACCAUGGUCCUGAAAAAUGUUGUCUCAUUUUACCUGUGUACUGUACCUGUAGUUGUGGUCAAAGUGACAACAAUAAGUGACUUGACUUGACCUUCUUUGGUUCAGUUCACACGCACGUAAAUUUAGACAAUUGAGUAUUUAUGUGUGCACUCACUUGGUUUCCCUGACCCUCCAGCAGCAGUUAAAGAAGAGAAACAUAAUACCUAGGAAACUGACUCUACGCUGGUCUUCAUCCCAACAUAAUCUUCACAUUUUCAACUUAGAAUCAUCCACUUCUGCAGUAGUUGCUUUCCACGUAGCUGUUGGUUGCUGUGCUCCUCAGAUCCUCCAUUUGUAUUCUUUUUCCUUAUCAGAUCAAUCUAUCCCCUUUCAAUUUCAUCGGCUCAAGACUGUCUGACACAAAAUGCUGGUGGAACUGAGCAGGCGGGGCAGUAUGUAUGGAAAAGAGUGAAUAGUCAACGUUUCAGGCAGAGACU